rnacentral:rRNA from 1 species
UACGUGAGGGGCAAGCGUUGUCCGGAUUUAUUGGGCGUAAAGAGCGUGUAGGCGGCUAGAUAGGUCCGUUGUGAAAACUCGAGGCUCAACCUCGAGACGUCGAUGGAAACCAUCUGGCUAGAGUCCGGAAGAGGAGAGUGGAAUUCCUGGUGUAGCGGUGAAAUGCGCAGAUAUCAGGAGGAACACCGAUGGCGAAGGCAGAUCUCUGGGCCGUAACUGACGCUGAGGAGCGAAAGCAUGGGGGAGCGAACAGG